rnacentral:rRNA from 1 species
UACAGAGGGUGCGAGCGUUGUCCGGAAUCACUGGGCGUAAAGGGCGCGUAGGCGGCGCGGUAAGCGUGCGGUGAAAGCCCGGGGCUCAACCCCGGGUCGGCCGUGCGGACUGCCGGGCUGGAGCACUGUAGAGGCAGGUGGAAUUCCGGGUGUAGCGGUGGAAUGCGUAGAGAUCCGGAAGAACACCGGUGGCGAAGGCGGCCUGCUGGGCAGUGGCUGACACUGAGGCGCGACAGCGUGGGGAGCGAACAGG